AAUAGCCUCAGUGGUGGAGCGGCCCGGCAUGAAACCGAACUGGUUCCCAGAUAUAUUCGUCGCCUCCCUCAUUCGCGCCUCAAUCACCCUCUCCCAAAUAACUAGAAUUUUUUUUCUCUCUCCAUCAAUCUUUGCCUACUAAUAAGCAUACAAGUAGAGGCCUAACGUGGAACAUAACUUCUAUGCCAGAACCAUUUUGGCUUUCUUGUAAUUCACAAAUUAUAUUAAGUUAGAAAGCUGCACGCAGCAGCAUAUUUAUUGCUUCCUCGAAUUUAACUUUAGUGUUGUUCUUGAAAAUGCUAUCUCUCUUAGAAAUUGGACUUUUGGGAAGCUCUUAAAGUAUUUAUCAAUAGUAAGAUGAGAAGCUGUUAACAUAUAGAAGACUCCACCAGUUAGUGUUUCCUUUUUGUUGUAGUUGACCAUGGACUUAGCUAACUCCCUAACUAAACUCUCUGUGCAGGUCUACUACCAAUUCAGCCCCAUUUACAUGCUUGCAGAGCCAUUGAUGUUGACUUCUGUCUUUUUCCUUUUCUUUAUGGCUUGUGUCACUUAUCUGCAAGUAGAUCUUUCAAUUAGCAAAAUCAAGCAAACAUGAGUUUUUGACACUCUUGAGAGGUACUUUCCCUAAGCUAAAAUGAUCGCUUAUAAUUUAUAUAACCAGUACACUGUUAAUUUCCUAUGUUUCUUUUGUGUAGAAGCAGUUGUAAAAUGAUCAAUUAUAGUUCAUAUAACCAGUACACUGUUAAUUCCCUCUGUUUCUCCUGUGUGGAAGCAGUUUUGAUUGUGAGAUCAAAGAUUAGUAGAAGCAGCUGGAACUUCCAAUUGAGCCAAGGUAGAACACAUUGUUUGAAUUGUAGCCGAUCACUCAGUUGUUGUGUACCUUAGAACAUUUGUCUUCUUACAACUGUAUUGGUCUUACAUCCAAGAAAGGAAAUGCAGAGAACUAUUUAUCAAAUUCUUUUCGUCUAAUAUACACAGCUAUGAUAAUCAAACUUCAUUCUCUUCUUGGACCUUCUGGGUUGCAAAAUCAGUUAAAUGGACAUUAAGCACUAAAUAUAGCCAGCUAUAGAGAAAUUGAAAUGCUGUGCAUAUUGUAUCAUGCUCGCCUGCUAGUGAUAUUGUCCAUUGUGGGCUUAGGCUUUCAUGGGUUUAAAAUGCAUCGCUACAGUCUAAGGCUUGAUAACUUAUAUACCCAAUAUCUCUAUUGUGUUUUGUUGAUGUGGGAC
rnacentral:lncRNA from 1 species